UUCCUGGUGGCUUAGAUGGUAAAGAAUCUGCUUGCAAUGCAGAAUACCUGGGUUCAAUCUCUGGGUUGGGAAG
rnacentral:tRNA from 1 species